AAACUAAGAGCUCAGUCUGCUCUCCCUGAUAAGACGUCUAGCAACAAUAGUUAAGUCACUGUUCAUAAGUAGGAGAUUAUGUAGUGAGUUCUAUGUAACUUACUAUCAAUCCAUUUUCCAUUGCUAUAACAAAAUAUUGGAGGCUGAAUCAUCAUGAGGAAAGCGAGUUUAUUGGGCUUACAAUGUGAAAGUCGGAAUACCAUGUGGUAGAUCUGGAGAACGUCCCUUUGAUUACGUCACAUAGGAAAUGGAAUCCUGGUGGCAGCAUGCAAAGACAGAAUGCUAAAGGGAGACCAAGAUAGAGCCUGUCUUGCUGUUUUGUGACAGUCCUCUCAUAAGAACUAACCAGAAGCCCCAUGAGAAGUGCUUUAAUUCCUUCCAAAGGCAAUGUUUUUCCACCAUUGUAAUGAAUUCUCAUUAGGACACACUUUUUUUUAAUGGUUUGCUACCUUUUAACAGUGCCAUACCUUGGAGCCAGUUUCCCAUAAAGAAAUCCUAAGAGUUUAUCCAAUCUGCAGCAGCCUCUGCCUUGGCCAUCCUUAGCCAGGCAGAAGCUGGCUGGGCAUAGCCUUCAUUGUUUGCCUCUUCAGCAAUGGAUCCACUCUGAUCCUGCCUCCGGCCUAGAAGAUGCAAUGAAGCUGAGUCCUGAACUUCCCUGAAGCUCUUACCAGUAGGAAUUGCCUGGUUUUAUGCACUCUACUGUCUGCUUUCUGGAAACAAAGAUGGUUUGAAGUGGUACCCAGAAGGCUCUCUAGCUUUUACACCUGACUUGUUAUUUUUCUCUUCAGUGCAUCAGUGAUGCGUAGAAACAGCCAUCCAGCUUCACCAUCCACACGAUUAUCAUCUCCCUCAUUUUCAAAAGACAAUGAAUGCACACAAGUCAGUCCCUCUCCUCCUUCUGUGUCCCAUCUCAAUUUACCAAAGCAAACAUCUCAAGUCUACGGUAGGACAGGGGUGAUCUGUCCUCCACUUAUCCUAUCAGUGAUGGAGUCCUAGUGGCACAUAGCAGUGUCCCAUGCUAGAACCCUAUAUGUCUUAGUUACUUUGCUGUUGCUGUGAUUAAAACACCAGGACCAAGGCAGUUUAUAAGAGAAGAAUUUUUUGGGGAUUAUGGUUUGUGAGGGCUUGAGUCCAGAGAUGCAGGUGGCUGGCACAGAAGCUGAGAGAGCGCACAUCUCUAACUACAAACAUGAAUCAGAGAGGGCUAACUUAAAAUGGUGUCAGUCUUUUGAAAGCUGAAAGCCCACCCCGGUGACAUGCUUCUUCCAACAAGGCCAUACCUCCCGAUCCUCCCUAAACAGCCUCCAACUGGGGCCAUAUAUCCAAUGCCUGAGACUUACGAGAUUACCACGCUGUGUUUAGAGUCAGUCUCCUAGGGUCCCUUUCAGAGCCCACUGCUCCCUUCAGUUCAGUUUCCUCAAAAGCAGACCGAAGUAAGGAAAAAGGAAGUCAUUGCAUGACUUCGGGGCAAAGUGUCAGCUUCAACAUGUACUUGUCAGGAACUUGGGAGUGCAAGUCACCUUGAAGUUAGACCCACACAUCACAAGGAACAUGGAUUUGUCACACACACACACACACACACACACACACACACACACACACACACCACAGGCAUAUCAGUCACUGACUAAGACAACCUUCCAGGCAGAGGUAGACUUUCAGGUCUUGAUUCUCUGCAAGUGAAAGACCCCCCCGGAGCGGGGAGACCCUCACUCAAGUCUCGGGAUGAUGCGACCCCCCAAAAACUCACAUAAGACCAUCCUUGUUGUAAUUUACACGAGGUUUAUUGAUAGGAACCAGUGCACUGGGGUCGAGACUCGUAGCCCACGCAGGGGCACAGGAGUUUGACAAUCAGUAGCUAAGAGAAGGGGAAUUUAAAGGAAGAAACCACAACCCAAGGGGGUAGGGAGGGCGUCAUUGGAAAAUGUCGAGAAUACCAGUGAAAAAUCACAAGGAGGAGCUUCCUGUUUCUCAAGAUUGUUUAACUUUAUGGUUCUCCAGUUCCUGGGAGAAGCUUCCUGCUUCUCAAGAUUGUUCUCUAAGAUUUUAAUCUAACUUUAUGGUCAGCUAGUUCCUGGGAGAGAGUUGCCGAACCAGCCGAUGUAAUUACCCAUUCUAUGGUCCUAGGAGAAGCUUCCUGGAACAUACAAUCCCAGGGUCUAACCAGUUUUUUUUUCUUCCUUCUGCUCUAAACUUUGUGUCUAGGGGAGCAACUUUAAAACUUUUACCUUUCACAAGUAUGGUUAGUUGACACUAGUAGUCCUUGGCAGUGUUCUGAAGGGGAUAGCUGGCACAAGCCAAAACUAAGGAGAUGAGUUUUAAAUGGUAAGUGGAACCUGAAGGGACAUGCCCUCUUCCUCAGUGCCAACUAUCCUCAUCAAGCAGAAAAAUUACUACAGGGGUGCAAGUUGGUAUUUAUUCCAAGACAUGUUCUCGAAUAACUGAAUAGUUGGACCUGUGGGUACAGGAUGGUCUGGAGGGUAGGGGUGGGCUGCAGCGAUAUGAUGAGAGCAGAGUUCAAACAGGAGUCCUUUGUACUGCGUCUGUUGAAUCAGGGUGAUAAGGAGUCUGUGUGUGUGUGUGUGUGUGUGUGUGUGUGUGUGUGUGUGUGAGAGAGAGAGAGAGAGAGAGAGAGAGAGAGAGAGAGAGAGAGAGAGAGCAUAUAGGUAUAUAGUGUGAUGUUUGGUGUUCCUCAAUGUCAGAGAGCUGCUUCCGGCCCAUGCGUGUAAUCCCCCUUUAUUUAUUUGCCAUCAGAAUAAAGGUGCCCAUAUUCCAAUACUAAUCAUACAAAGGAACGUGGUGACUAGUUCUGCUCUUUGCUUCACUGCAGACGAAUAGCAAAUGAAUGCUUAUUUACAGAAACACAAAGCACAUAGAACAGUGGACAUUGAUCUUUGAUGCAUAGCCAUCCAGCCUAAGGCCUUAUUUACAACUACUUCAGAUGGGAUCACAUACAAUCAUAGUUAAAAACCAAACCAAAGGCCCGCUUUUAGAAAUUGUCCAAAUUAGAACUAACUUCUGAGCUGGACGUGGUGGUAUACACCUUUAAUCCUAGCACUCAAGAUGCAGAAGCAGAUGGAUUUCUUUGAGUCUGAGGCUAGCCUGGUCUACAGAGUGAGUUCCAAGACAACCAGGGCUGUUAGACAGAAAUACCCUAUCUCAAGAUCGCACGAAGUCAACCACAAGACAUCAUUCAUUGAGCAGAUGCUGGGGAAGGGGACUGGAGCUCAAAGGCUACCUGCUUUAGAAAUAUCUUCUUAGGGGCUGGAGAGCUGGCUCAGCAGUUAAGAGCACUGACUGCUCUUCCAGAGGUCCAAUUUCAAUUCCCAGAAACCACAUGGUGGCUCACAACCAUCCGUAAUGGGAUUCAAUGCUCUCUUCUGGUGUGCUUGAAGACAGCUACAGCGUACUUACAUAUAAUAAACAAAUCUUAAAAAGAAAA